GAAAUAAAACGCCCUGUGUACUAGUGUUAUAAAGGAUAUGUUAAUAUCUUUUAAUGGAACUAGAAACAUAGCUAACUUUCUCUUGAGACCGCAUAGAAAAUUUGGAAUUCUUUCUGAGUUGGUUGACUCUGUGAAUACAGAUGUGGAAAUUGAUAUGGAGGGCCAACUGUAUGUAUACAAUGAAGCAUCCUCGCUAACCUUCCAUGGUUUACCAGAAUUGUAUGAGGAUGGAAUCAUCUUCCCAUUCUCAUGGUAUGGACAGUACUCAAUGGCUCAUUCUGACAAACAGAACAUUGUGCAAUAUCAAGACAGCAUGAAACAUCUGAAAAUAAGACCUUUGGGGACUGGAGAGAUAGCUCAGCCCUUAAGAGCAGAGGACCCUGC